rnacentral:rRNA from 1 species
AGAUUGAACGCUGGCGGCAGGCCUAACACAUGCAAGUCGAGCGGCAGCACGGGUACUUGUACCUGGUGGCGAGCGGCGGACGGGUGAGUAAUGCCUAGGAAUCUGCCUGAUAGUGGGGGAUAACGUUCGGAAACGGACGCUAAUACCGCAUACGUCCUACGGGAGAAAGUGGGGGAUCUUCGGACCUCACGCUAUCAGAUGAGCCGUAGGUCGGAUUAGCUUAGUUGG